GACAGAGGGUGCAAACGUUGUUCGGAAUUACUGGGCGUAAAGCGCGUGUAGGCGGCCAUGCAAGUCGGAUGUGAAAGCCCUCGGCUCAACCGGGGAAGUGCACUCGAAACUGCAAGGCUAGAGUCUCGGAGAGGAUCGUGGAAUUCUCGGUGUAGAGGUGAAAUUCGUAGAUAUCGGAGAGGAACACCGGUGGCGAAGGCGGCGAGUCUGGACGAUGACUGGACGCUGAGACGCGAAAGCGUGGGGAGCAAACAGG
rnacentral:rRNA from 1 species